GCCGAAGUGGCGGAAUGGCAGACGCGCUGCGUUCAGGGCGCAGUGUCCCUUGCGGACGUGGGAGUUCAAAUCUCCCCUUCGGCACCA
rnacentral:tRNA from 1 species